AACGCUAGCUACAGGCUUAACACAUGCAAGUCGAGGGGCAGCAUGGUCUUAGCUUGCUAAGGCCGAUGGCGACCGGCGCACGGGUGAGUAACGCGUAUCCAACCUGCCUUACACUCUUGGACAGCCUUCUGAAAGGGAGAUUAAUACAAGAUGUUAUCAUGAGUAAGCAUUUUCGCAUGAUUAAAGGUUUACCGGUGUAAGAUGGGGAUGCGUUCCAUUAGAUAGUAGGCGGGGUAACGGCCCACCUAGUCUUCGAUGGAUAGGGGUUCUGAGAGGAAGGUCCCCCACAUUGGAACUGAGACACGGUCCAAACUCCUACGGGAGGCAGCAGUGAGGAAUAUUGGUCAAUGGACGAGAGUCUGAACCAGCCAAGUAGCGUGAAGGAUGAAGGUUCUAUGGAUUGUAAACUUCUUUUAUACGGGAAUAAACGGAUCCACGUGUGGAUUUUUGCAUGUACCGUAUGAAUAAGGAUCGGCUAACUCCGUGCCAGCAGCCGCGGUAAUACGGAGGAUCCGAGCGUUAUCCGGAUUUAUUGGGUUUAAAGGGAGCGUAGAUGGGUUGUUAAGUCAGUUGUGAAAGUUUGCGGCUCAACCGUAAAAUUGCAGUUGAAACUGGCAGUCUUGAGUACAGUAGAGGUGGGCGGAAUUCGUGGUGUAGCGGUGAAAUGCUUAGAUAUCACGAAGAACUCCGAUUG
rnacentral:rRNA from 1 species